UUGCGUUAUGGGUGCUUUUAGGGUGUACUUUUCCGUAUGGUAGGUCAAUAUCGAUUUUGGUCGUCAUAAAAUGAUCGGAAGAAUGUGGCUUCCAUCUCGUAUCGGAGUGUUAUAGCCUUUGGUAGAUGUGACGAUUGGGAUCGAGGAUUGCAACGAAUACCCUUUGGGCUAUCCGUCUGACCCCUGAAAGUCGCUCGGGUGUCGAAAGCGUGCUUAUGACAUUCUAGUUGGCGGUCAAAAGGUUAGAACGCGAUUACAUUCGUUAAGGAUGUUGACGUA
rnacentral:rRNA from 1 species